CAGUCGCCGCGGGAAUACGGAGGGAGCUAGCGUUGUUCGGAAUUACUGGGCGUAAAGCGCACGUAGGCGGUUAUUCAAGUCAGAGGUGAAAGCCCGGGGCUCAACCCCGGAACUGCCUUUGAAACUAGAUGACUGGAAUCUUGGAGAGGUCAGUGGAAUUCCGAGUGUAGAGGUGAAAUUCGUAGAUAUUAGGAAGAACACCAGUGGCGAAGGCGACUGACUGGACAAGUAUUGACGCUGAGGUGCGAAAGCGUGGGGAGCAAACAGGAUUAGAUACCCCCGUAGUCCCUGUCUCUUAUAC
rnacentral:rRNA from 1 species